rnacentral:lncRNA from 1 species
GACACUAUAACCUUUAACAAUGAAUUAUAAGAGAAGAGCUACAGGACUGAAAAAUAUAAAAAUUGAACCAGUUUUUCCAAAUGGGAUCAAGAAAAAUAGCAAAAGCAUUAUAAGAACAAGUUAAAAUGAAAUAGUCAUAAGCUUUGAUCUGACUCAGAUUGUUGUUGUUGUUGGGAUGUUUCAGAGUGGAGGAGAGGUUGUUGUGACUGUUUUCUCAAGAAAGGGCUUGAAAUGCAACAGCUCCAAUUACUACUAACCCAGAUCUCAAUGCUUUCAUUUUUGUCGUAUCCCUCAUUCUUCUUCUACCGCUGCUUUCACUCUUCUUCUUCCCUUGUACAAAUAUGCUGAAUCCCUUGCACAUUCGAGGCAUAGGGGUAAUCUUAAAUGUAGUAAAAUGAAAAGAAAAUUACAAAGAAAAAGUAUUGUACAUUUUAUUUUUCCUUCUUACCUUCAUAACUUGAACAAUAAUGGUAAGUUUGUAAAAGAGGAGAACGAAGAAGACUUUUGCUAAUUUGAUUUAGUUACAAAUGAACAAGAUCAAUUAUAUUUUUACUUUUCUAUGGAAGGUUCUAGAUACAAAACUAAUUUAGAUAAUUGUAUCAUUUUCUACCAAUAUCUUUCUUCAAUGUCCAAG